CCGAGUUUACAACUCCCAAACCCCUGUGAACAUACCUAUCGUUGCUUCGGCGGGAUCGCCCCGGCGCCCCUCGGGCCCGGACUCGGCGCCCGCCGGAGGACCCAAACCCUUGUAUUAUUUUGAGUAUCUUCUGAGUAAACAAGCAAAUAAAUCA
rnacentral:misc_RNA from 1 species